rnacentral:rRNA from 1 species
GUGCUUAACACAUGCAAGUCGAACGGUGAAGCGCUUGCCUUUUUGGUGGGUGUGGAUGAGUGGCGAACGGGUGAGUAACACGUGAGUAACCUGCCCUCUUCUUCUGGAUAACCUCAUGAAAGUGGGGCUAAUACGGGGUAUUCCGGGUCUGUCGCAUGGCGGGUUUGGGAAAGAUUGCGCCUUUGGGUGUUUUCGGUGGGGGAUGGGCUCGCGGCCUAUCAGCUUGUUGGUGGGGUGAUGGCCUACCAAGGCGGUGACGGGUAGCCGGCCUGAGAGGGUGGACGGCCACACUGGGACUGAGACACGGCCCAGACUCCUGCGGGAGGCAGCAGUGGGGAAUAUUGCACAAUGGGCGCAAGCCUGAUGCAGCGACGCCGCGUGAGGGAUGGAGGCCUUCGGGUUGUGAACCUCUUUCGCCAGUGAAGCAGGCCUGCUCCUGUGUGGGUGGGUUGACGGUAGCUGGAUAAGAAGCGCCGGCUAACUACGUGCCAGCAGCCGCGGUAAUACGUAGGGCGCGAGCGUUGUCCGGAAUUAUUGGGCGUAAAGAGCUCGUAGGCGGCUGGUCGCGUCUGUCGUGAAAUCCUCUGGCUUAACUGGGGGCUUGCGGUGGGUACGGGCCGGCUUGAGUGCGGUAGGGGAGGCUGGAACUCCUGGUGUAGCGGUGGAAUGCGCAGAUAUCAGGAAGAACACCGGUGGCGAAGGCGGGUCUCUGGGCCGUUACUGACGCUGAGGAGCGAAAGCGUGGGGAGCGAACAGGAUUAGAUACCCU